CCUACGGGAGGCAGCAGUAAGGAAUAUUGGUCAAUGGACGCAAGUCUGAACCAGCCAUGCCGCGUGAAGGAUUAAGGUCCUCUGGAUUGUAAACUUCUUUUAUUUGGGACGAAAAAGGGUCUUUCUAGGCCAACUGACGGUACCAGAUGAAUAAGCACCGGCUAACUCCGUGCCAGCAGCCGCGGUAAUACGGAGGGUGCAAGCGUUAUCCGGAUUCACUGGGUUUAAAGGGUGCGUAGGCGGGUAGGUAAGUCAGUGGUGAAAUCCUGGAGCUCAACUCCAGAACUGCCAUUGAUACUAUUUAUCUUGAAUAUUGUGGAGGUAAGCGGAAUACGUCAUGUAGCGGUGAAAUGCUUAGAUAUGACAUAGAACACCUAUUGCGAAGGCAGCUUACUACGCAUAUAUUGACGCUGAGGCACGAAAGCGUGGGGAUCAAACAGGAUUAGAUACCCUGGUAGUCCACGCCCUAAACUAUGAUUACUCGACAUUUGUGAUACACAAUAAAGUGUUNUGNGNGAAGANAUAAUAAUACCACCNGGAGUACGUCCGCGAGAAGAGAACGUACGAAGAAGUUAGUACGGCGUGAGACGUUAGCCGACGGACGACGACGAGGGAGGAGGG
rnacentral:rRNA from 1 species